rnacentral:lncRNA from 1 species
AGAGAGGCAGUUUGUUGGUGGGAGAGCAUUUGGACUCUGUUGUUUCCCACAAACUUGGCCUUUUCCCCAACUUGUUGGAUCUGGAUAUACCUCAUAUAUUCCUGGUUCUAUAUGAGAGUAGGUGGUUGAACUUGAGCGAAACAUCAUGGCCAGCCACAUGGAAGAGAACAUCCUUGAAAAGGAUUUCAGGAUGUUGUCAUCUCUGGGUUGUGGUUCAUUCGGGGAGGUAAAGCUUGCCUGCCAUCUUCCCACACUUAUACGGGUGGCUGUCAAGGUCCUUGAGAAAAACAUCAACAGCAUGGCUGACAUCACUUCGAAGCUGGAACUCCUUCAAUCUUUAGAACACAGGAACAUUGUUUGAUUUUUUCACAUGAUUGACACACUGACAACAACUUAUGUGAUCAUGGAGAAUGUGGCAGGAGAGGACCUUGAGAAGUACCUCAGGGCACUGGGCUGUCUGAAAGAGGAGGAGGCUAGACCUGUUUUUCAGCAGGUCGUGUCAGCAGUUCACUUCCUCCACCAAAGACACAUUGCACAUCGCAAUAUUAAAUUAGAAAGCAUUCUGGUCGAUGCAGCAGGAAAUGCAAAGCUUUGUGACUUUGGCAUGGCAAUUAAAACCACAGAAGGGCAGAUGUUGGAGGAAACCUGUGGCUCCUUACUCUAUAGGGCCCCAGAGAUCUUGGCAAGGAAACCCUAUGAUGGGCUGGCAGUUGACAUGUGGAGCUUAGGCAUCGUCCUCUAUGUUCUGGUCACAGGGCACUUUCCAUAUGUAGAAGCCACCAUUGAGGAUAUGCACAGGGUCAUCACUACUACAGUGUGUCCCAUUCCUUACCACUUGUCAUUUCCGUGUCACAUCAUCAUUGCAUGGUUACUUGGGGUCCCUACCUGGCACAGGAUGACAAUACAUCAGCUUGUGGAACGACCGUGGCUGGGCCACAUUCAAGACCAUGGACUGGUUGCCACAAAAGAAAUCCUUCCCAGGAUCGUGAACACAAUGUGCACCAUUGGCUAUACCUGUGAAGAGAUUGUGUCAUCCUUAACAAAUAGGUGACUCAAAGAUGAAGUAAUGGCAACAUUUAAUAUUUUAAAAUACCAGCUGAGCUAUGGGGACAGCCAUCAACAGGUGGAGAAGCCCUGGGCAAAUAGCAGCCCUUCAGGUGCCCUUAUCCCCCUUCCCCACUUGAAGAGGAGAUCCAGUGAACCUACCUUUUCAACCUGUAUAGAAGCUAGGAAGAGUAACUUUCAGGAUGAGAAUGUGGAAAGAAGAAGCAAGAGUUGCAGAAGUUACCCCAUACACACCAAAAGCUCCUGCACAGAGAGGAUGCCCUAUUCAGAUGACCCAGUGCCGGAAAGUGAUGCUGUGACAGCUGAUGUCACUAACAGUGCUACAGGGGAUAUUGUAGUCAACAGAGAUUCCACGAACAGCAUGCUUGGUGAGCAUGUCUCUCCACUAUCAGCCCACGUUGGCCCCACAGCUUCUAGAUCUAGGUCACUCACAGUUUGGAAGCGAAUUUCCCGUGCUCUGAAAUCACUAUGGUGCUGCUGCUGUUGCUGCUGCUGCUGCUGCAUCUGUGUGCCCUCCCCACGUGGGGAAACCGAAAUGGACUAGGAGAAUUUCAGCCUUAUUGAAGAGAGACUCCACAGCAGAAAACCAGGACAGAACUCCAUGGUGCUGUGUUCCUCCAAUACAGGGCAUCAGGCUUCUGUGUCUCUUUCGCCCUUUGAUCUAAAUUGUCAGUGUGCAUCUCCUUCAUCUUACUCCAGCCCCAUCACUGCUUGCUGGACAGAAAGGUGGGCACGAGGAACAUCUACCUGAUGAGGCUCUUCUUCCUCAGCUUUGAGUGUGCUGUAGCACUAGUGCCCACAGCAUCUAAAACAGAUGCCUCCACAACCAGAAAUGAUGUGUCUUCUGACAUAAGGAGCCUCAUCAUCUUGGUCACUUUAUCCCUUCCAUCUUAUUUCCUGACUGUCUUUUGGGAAGAACUUCAAGAAACAUCCUCUUUCAUCCAUUUAGUAUUGUUCUGCUCCACUAUGGAAAAUUAAGAAGACCUUGCCAGGCCUGAUGCCAGGUAUUGUCUCUAGGAGACAGCAGCCAAGGCUCUGUUAGACAAGUUCUGUGGUGGAGGAUCAUUUUCACCAUCUAUGCAUUCUGACUCAUCUAGGCAAGUGUUAAACAAGAUGGUGUACGGAAUGCACAGUGUCCAACCCAGACAGGUGUUUGGGAAACUGCUUCUCCUCCUGACUCCUAGAGCCUGUUCAUGGGACAGGACAGCAGCAGGCAUCCAGGCUAGAGAAUCCCUUCAGACAGCAAUUCCUCAAGAGAUCCAUUGAGUUCGUUCUCAGAUGCCUGGCAACAUCUUGAAACAUGUACCCAGAUAAUUCCUGACAUGAGGAUGUGCACACUCAGCAUUCGUGACGCUGACUGAGCAGCCUGGGUUGUUUGAGAAUUUCCAUGGGAUCUUCCAGCCAUCAACUCAAUUGAAUGCAAUGCAGUCCCACUGCUAGAAGCUAUGCCUACCUACCAGAGAUGGCCAGGAUCCGUGCAGCAUGCCGAGAAAGGAGCUCCCUUUCCUUGUCCAAAGGACAUUUGGUUUUUGUGGCAUUCUUGUGGAUGACACCGAUAGAUGACAGUUUCCAAGUUGGACAACUCACAACUACCCCAAAAGAUGUGUCUACAGAAGAGCAAGAAGUGGGGCUGAGGCCACUAAGAACAGCACUACCUGUACACACAUCAUUACAUAGAAUGCACAAAUUUCUUCAGCGCCUCUGGAAAGGAGUUAGCAUGUCUUUGAAUCUGACUGAGAGGGGAGCAUGGAUUUAGGAGUGGUGUUUCUGUUGCUCAAAGAGGAAGGUCCAGAGUUUUUAAUGCUACCAUCUCAGAAACAACUGUAAAGAAGCUUUCUUCAGAACAUCCAACAGGUGAUGCAAGCCUGGACACAGGAUACUAUACUUCACAAUAUUCUACUAGUUCUGAUUUGGUUUCUUGUUUUUUGGUUUUUGUUAUAUAUCUUUAACAAAUAAGUUCUUAAUUUUGUACUUUAGAAAUAAUAAAGUAUGAUAU